rnacentral:misc_RNA from 1 species
CUCUUUCAUAAAUAAUAGAGCUAUCCAUUAUUUUACAUUUUAUUGAUUGGAAAAAUUACUGCAUGCUAUCAUUCCGCAGCCCACACUACAGAGAACAGAUUAGCCAUUAUUAUCUUUCUCAUAAGUAAUCAGAGGAAUCAUGCAUACGAGUUAAAAAAAAUAAACUCGAUCACCUUACAAUAGAAUUUUUUUAAAAAUAUAUAAAUAAAUAAUAAAAAAACAAAAAUAAAAAACACUUAUCCCAUGCCAUUUAUAAGCCAAAAUUCACUCAAGAGGCUAUGAUCACCCAACAAGCAGACACUCCAUAACCUUGAAAUGAAAAUUAUAAUAACAAACAUGGCACUCUAACCAAACCCGUAUAAUUUUUUAAGUGAAAAAUCCCCUCAGAGACUAAGAUCGCUUGAGAAGCACAAAACCCACAAAGAUAGAAAGGAGAAGGAAGAAAACUGCAGCCAAAAUGUUGAAGUUUAUUGAUUUGAUAUUUUCCCUGCUAUUAUCCACACCACUCGUGUCGAUCAUUCUGUUCUUCUCUACAGAAAAGCUAGAUGCAGAAUGACCUAGGACUGCAACAUCCCAAAAAGAUUUAGCUAUCACUGAUGGAGCUUCUAUUUCUGGUUGGAGAAUUGCCGAGGUAUCAGUUGGAGUUUCCAUGGACAUCAACUCAACACAAUGAUCUUUUAGGACCUCAAGUUUCUCAGAGGGUUGUAAGUAGUCACAUAUAAAUGUACCAGCCAACCAAGGAAUAAAUACUCUUCGAGGAAAUGCAAGAUUGCAUGUUUUCCUGUUAUAAAGUGUGCAAUAGCAAAUGUGAUAAGGAUGGAGGAUGAAAAAUAUAUCAAUUUUCCAAAUUGCAGUUCAAAAAAUGAAAGAUGAAACCCAUUGGUUCUGACAAACAAGCUAACUGAAGAUGCAAAAAGAUUAGAGUUCUAAUUAAGGGGAGAAAGGGAUAUAGACAUAUAGUGAAUGGUAAGCUAUCAUAUGACGAAGCAUGUAAAGUGCUAUUAAUCUAAAAUUAUAUUAUUUAAAUACAGUCCUAAUCAUUUAAUCUUUCUCAUAAAUUGUAAAAUAGAAAUUAUAAUAAUGAAAAAAAAGGAAGAUAUAUAAUGGUUUAUAAUUCUUACUGCAGAAAUAUAUUCACUAGUUAAAAAUCACAUUACAUGCAAUGCACAUGUGAAAAUGGCUAACAUAAAAUAUCCCAAUGAUAUUUGAUACUUUCAUUUUCUACACCAUAAACACUAUAGAAACUACAUUUGACACACCUCAAUAAGGACGGGACAAGUUUGGAAACAGGUUUUUCAGGCAGUUUUUCAUGGCUUGCUUCCCCACCAUCAUCAUCUACCGGACCCACAUCUUCAUCUGCUUCAUCACAGAUGAUAUCCAGUCUGCUUUGUAAACUCCUGAUGAUAUCAUCCUGGAAACAGAAUACAUAAGAAAAGAGCAACCAUGAAUAAGGGGAAAUAGAGAAUUUAUACUUUGCUAGUCAUUGCAGAAAAUGUUCGAAUCCCACAUAUUUACUUCCAAAAUUUACAAUAUCCUUUCUUCUUCAACAGUUCAACAUUAAAUUCAACUAUAUAACUUUAAACUCUUGCGGAUAUUCCUUGUUGCCAUCAUACUUCCAUAUUUGUUGGCAGUCAGCAGCAUCUGCCAAUUGCUCCCUGGUGAACUGUACUAAAAUUUGAAACAGUUUUCAAACUUCAUCCAAUCAAUACUGCCUGAUUUCACCAAGAUCAAUGAAUCUGAAGAGUACAUUGUGCAAAAUAGGUACCAUAAUUUGAGUAAAAGUGAGACACACCCCUAAGGCACCUCCUAUACAUGGGUUAGACGUGUAUAGAAACUUAGGAAGAUAAAAAUGCCAAGAAUGCAAAUGUACAAUGAAUUGUACCAACAUGCUACACUUCACGAGUAGCUAGUACAAGUUUCAGAAUGCUGUUGAUAAAGACAAAGCCCAAGCAAAGCUUACAUAAACAAUUAAGGUGCAAGGACAACAAUCCUGUAAAAGCAUUUCCCUAAAUACUUAAAGCAAAGGUAUAAAAAUGAUAGUGCUAACAAAACUAAUAAACAAAAAAGAUAAAAUUAAAAUAUAUCGAAUACCUUUAUAUCAGCAACAGCCUGUGAUACUGGUUCUUUUGAAUUCAAGUAUGCAAAGGAGCACACAGACCCACUGAACAUAAGAACACCAACAACAUCCAUUUGACUGCAUGCUUCAGCCUGUGUAUUCUUCAUGAAUGGUAAAAGCUAUUCAACUUCAAUCAAACCCUCAGUAGUACAAGGUUCUUCAUUAACAACCUAGAACCAUAUAGACAAAAGGAAUAACUCUUCAAACAAAAUGUAAUACCAUAAAAAAAUGCUUUAAUAACUUUCUAUUCCAGAAAAGUCAAGUCAAAGUACGUUAAAAUUGUCCACUCCAGACCAACAAAAUGAGCUAUAACCUAUUGUAAACAUAGUAUAUAGAUUACAGACUAUUAGAAUAGAUCAAUUUCUGCUUUAGUGAAGUCCAUAUAUCAUUAAAUUCACAUGCCAGCAAGUUACAUUAAGUCAGGUGCACAUCUCAUGGUGCAGUGAUAGGCAAGGUAUCAAAUUCAUACAAGUCAAAAUAUACAAGUCAGCAAUCCAUACUGCAGUUUUUCAUUUUAGAUGGACAAAACUACAAUGAGAUGCCCAGCACACUUGAUCUACUGAAUGAAUGAAUGAAUGAAUGAAUGAAUGCCAAUCUAGUUUCUACAGUCUCAUUCCAAACUCAAUAAGGACAACUAUCAUACAGUGGUACAUAUAUAACUAUCAGAAGUUUAAAUAAAUAUCCAAAACAAGUUAGUUUUGCAACAACGUACUUUACUGAGAAAAGUUGUGAGAUAUAUUUGGUAGUUUAUAUUGCCAGAAAACUUUCACAAGCAAUGUAAGCAUGGCUACAUUUAGCAUAUGAAUACCUAUACUGUUUAAGCAAGGCUACAUAGUAUCAAGAUGUAUAUAGUUUUCCCAUAACAUCAAAAAGCAAACAGAAAAUGAAUUGGAAAUUGACAAUGUCAGAUUGCUUCUUACCAAAUUUCCAUCAAUUAAAGCAUUUGCACUUCUUAGCUCUUUUGCAUGAACUGAGAUUCCAUGACGCAGAAUUGAACUCAACGUUGAGGCAUUUGAUGCAUUUUCAUGACAUAUGGGAAAGCUAGGCAAAUAUUGGUUCAACUUUAGUGCUAGCACUGGUUUCCUCAUAUUCAUACAAUAAGUAUCACAAGAACUAAAAACAUUGGAGAGAAAUUGCAAUAUGCAACCAGAUUUUUGCAACAGAAUAGCCAGAUAUCAAACUCGACCUAUGAUAAUGAGACAUCAUUAUAAAGGCAUUUUAUCAUGUUAUGAGAAAUUUGAAGGGUCAAUCAAAAACAUUCUCAAGCUGUGAAGCAAUCAUAUGAAAUAUCAUGAUAAACUCAUUGAUCAUGUUAUAUGAAAUUUGUAGUGUCAGACAAAAGAUUCUCAAAUUGUAAUGCAAUCAUAUGUUCAUUACAUAUUGACAGAAUCAGAGGAUGAUCAUAUUUUCAUGCCAGAAUUUAGAUUUACAAAUUGGUUUUUUCAUUUUUUAUCAUCUUUGACAACCAUAAUAAAGAUCUAAUUCUCUCCAAAUCAGGUCAUGUACAUAGGAAUGCUUAAGCUUGUUUAUAUGCACACAAAUAUGGGCCUCUUUGAUGAAAAGCCUUUAAACAGGAUGAUCAGCCUUUUCCUUUUGAAAAAUGGGGCCUUGCGAAGUUACCUAGUUCAAGAUACAAAAUAUUUGAGGUACCUGAGUAGGCAGAAGACAUUUUUUCCAUGAAAAUAAAUCAUUUUUAAAUGCAAAGUAACAUUUCAGCACCAAAGUCUGUUGUCCUUUGGAUACACAACAACAAUUCAUAUACCGGAAAGCUGCGUCUGAUAAAAUCUGGUACAGUUAUGAGCAUAAAUUGUCAAAAGUGAGGGGGGGAGGGGGAGAGAGAGACUAUUGCUUAAUUAUAGAAAAGUACACACUGAUCAAUGGAUUUACCUGAGGUUGAAGUUAUAUGUGCACCUAAAUGUCCGAAGUGAACUUAAGACCCUUCCCAUUUUAAAAUCACAAGGCCGUAUGCUACUUGAUGUAAUAUUCGAAGACAGCACACAAUUUCUACAUGUCCACCUCCUGGGACUGUAAGAUAUAUGAAUAAGU